rnacentral:lncRNA from 1 species
GGUUGGCAUCCCACAGUAAAAAAUUCUGACCCAGUAUUGUUGUCUAAAAAUUUCAAGUACAAAAAUGAAGAAAAUGAGAGAAAGUGAUUCAGUAACUGAACUUGGAAUCCAUCUCAAGGGGAGACUUCAAGGCCUGACAUUAUUACUGGUGCUAUGGUCUCCUUACAGACAGGAGCCUAACAAGGCUGUCCUCUGAGAGGCCUGACAAGCAGCUGACUGAGAUGGAUCCAGAUACUUACACACACCCACUGUACUGAAGUCAGGACCCUCUCUGGUUGAAUUAGGGAAAGGCUGGAAAAAGCUGAGGAGGAGAGCGAGCAACACCAUAGGAAGACCAGCAGUCUCAACUAACAUGAAUAUAAUAUAUAUAUAUUCUGCCAGAUCUGGCCUCCGUGAGAGAAGAAGCUCCUAAUCCUAGAGAAACCUGAAGCCCCAGGAAGUGGGGAGGCCUGAUUGGAACUAAGGCACAAAAUUUGAAAGAAAACUAAGCCUUAAUUUUCAUGCAGUGAAAUAAACUUCUUAGCAUGCAGUAGGUAGAUCAGUGCAAACCUGACAAUUUGACAAAAAUAAAGCAGCUUAUAAAAUUUAUUUUCUCAAAUUCAGCAACCUUUUAAACUUAGCCUUUGUUGGAUAUUAAAGUUGGCAUAGCAGCAUUUAUAUGGAAGAUGUCUGAGUAGCAAUAUUAGAGGCUCCAAUUUGCACCCAGAUUUUAUUUACAUCUGUGAUUCCUCAAUCUGUUAGCUAUCAUAUAUCACUUAGAUACUAUACAUGUACUAAUUUGAAAGGGAAUACACAUUUUGUCAUUUUAUUCUAAUAUAGGUGACCAUUGAUAAUCUAAUACUAGUGAUGUCUUCAAAAUUUGCUUUACUCCUAUUGAAGAUUCCUUUUAUGCAAUGCUCUCAAAUACUUAAAAAAAUUGAAUCAGGCUUGAAAGGAAAAUCAAAGACUCCAUUCAAUCAGUAUUAUAAUUUUCCCAUUGAAUAAAUUCAUGUCUAUGUGAUUCAUGAAGCUGAUACACAGAGGAUGCUGAGCCCAGAGUAAAUAUAAGAGGUCCCUGUACUGGAAUUGGAGGAGGAAAGAUGGAGAUUUUUCUGGUAGGGUUACACUCAGAAAAAAAAUACAAUCAAAUUAAGAAAUGCUGAAGAGUAACAGAGAGUUCAUAUAAUACUUACGCUGAAUAAUUUACCCAAAGAAAAAGAACACAGUCAAGCUGCAGGACCUUUUGAACAAUGAGCAAGAGUUCAAUUAUCCACCAAUGUUCUAUUAAAAGUCAGCUUUCCGGGCGGAAGUGUUAUUUCAGCACUCCUAUCUUAGAAUUAUUAAACAGAAUUUCGCCCGUAUAGUUGCUGUGCUGGGCUGUACCUGGUACCUUCAUUUUAAGAACUCAGGGUUACAUGAAGUAUCACUCUGUCACAAAAAGAAAGAAAAUAAUGGAGGAGGAAAGAGUUAUUUUAACAUCACUUCUGGAGGGUAAGAGCUAUU